rnacentral:rRNA from 1 species
UACGGAGGGGGCCAGCGUUGUUCGGAAUUAUUGGGCGUAAAGGGCGCGUAGGCGGUCGGGUAAGUCUGACGUGAAAUCCCUUGGCUCAACCAAGGAACUGCGUCUUAAACUGCCCGGCUUGAGUCCGGGAGAGGGUAGUGGAAUUCCCAGUGUAGCGGUGAAAUGCGUAGAUAUCGAGAGGAACACCAGUGGCGAAGGCGAGUCCCUGGACAACUCCUGACGCUGAGGCACGAAAGCUAGGGGAGCAAACAGG